ensembl:lncRNA ZNF594-DT ZNF594 divergent transcript
GCGCUGGCUGGUUACCAAGGUUACCGCCGAGAGGCCGCGUCCUCAGCUGGUCCUAGACAUGCGUGGCGUCGGGGCUGUGGCACGGUCGGGUCCGGGGACACUUGUUUAACAAGACAUCUGCCCAUGUCCCUGGCCCAUCUCAUUGGCUGCAGCACAUCACAGUGGACCUUCUGCCUCCUCCCAGAUGCCCAGGGACAGUGAUCUGGAAGGAAGGGGCUUGAGGCUGUUUUCCUAGAACUCGACUUGAAUGCACCAAGGAAAGGCCAUUUGUGGGGACAUAGCAAGAAGGCAGCUGUCUGCAAGCCAGGAGGAGAACCCUCACCAGAAACCUCACAGAAAUCGGCCAACACCCUCAUCUCGGGCUUCCAGCUUCAGAACAACGAGAAAACAAAUUUCUGUUGUGUCCUGGUUCCCAUUUGUAAUUGGCACCCUAAUGAAACCGUUUUCUGUAGCCCUGGAAAUGGCUGAAAAUGAGGGGAGGGAAAUAAAGUGCUAUAAUUCAGAGCAUGGAGCACACCUUCCUGGUUCACCUGAGCUGGAUUCGGAGAGGUAAAAUGGCCAUUACCUCGUCUAAGCUGCCACUUACAGACACAGUACAGGAUGAGGCCCAGACCCACAGAGACAACGAUGAUGGCCACAGCUAAGAUGAUCCAGAAAUUAUUCCUCCACCAGCUCAUUGCAGUGGAAUCCUGAGAAGAAUGGAGAGAGAAGAAUGAGAGGGCAAAAGCAGAUGGCUACACCGAGAACUCACGCCAGCCCAACACACUUUGAUCUCGAGGCCUCUGGAAGGGAAGGUGCCUAAUGAACUACUGAAAGCCAGAGAUGCAAUGACAAAGGUACCAAGACUGGAGGUGAUCCAGGUCUUUCAUCCAAGAGCCCCAAGACGUAGCCUAAAUUCAUGCUACGGUAAUCCCAGCACUUUGGGAGGCCGAGGCGGGCGGAUCACCUGAGGUCAGGAGUUCGAGAGCAGCCUGGCCAACAUGGUGAAACUCCGUCUCUACUAAAAAUACAGAAAUUAGCCAGGUGUGGUGGCGGGUGCCUGUAAUCCCAGCUACUCAGGAGGCUGAGGCAGGAGAAUCGCUUGAACCCGGGAGGCGGUGGUUGCAGUGAGCCGAGAUCACGUCACUGCACUCCAGCCUGGGCGACAAGAGCGAAACUCCAUCUCAAAAUAAAAUAAAAAUAAAUAAAUUGACACAGUCAGUGCCUCGCUCCCACCCCCACCUCCAGCAUAGCACCAUGACAGUCUUCUCACAUAACAAGUCCCAAAACACACCAUCGGCAUCCAGAAAGUGAGAGUAACUCGUUACAGUUGAGACCUCUCACUCCCGGUCAUUAUCUCAUUUCAAUCCAAGAGGUAGACUUCUUCAUCGCCCCUGACAUACACAUGAGGAAAAGGCCCAGAGAGGUGAAGUGAUGCCUCAGGUCACUCAGCCAGUUACCAGUAGAGCAGAUCCUUCAAUGCAAGUUUUUCUCCAACCCUACACAGCAGUCGUACCAGGGCCCCAGGCUGCAAUCCCCUGGCCCAGUGCUGAUCGGUGGCUCCCAGGGACACGCCCUGAUGCCAGCGCUGGCAGAUGUCUGCUGUGAAGAGAGCAGGAAACUGUCCCUUGGAAAGCUGAGAUGCUUACCUGAACUGUGAAAGUAUCCAUAUGUGAGCAGCUAAGGAGACAGCAGUGGCUGGAGUGCUGCAGCUCAGGCACAGCUGGUGAGAGGCAUUCCUCACUCACAGGCCUUCACCCACUGCUAGAGACAGUGAGCCCCAUCCUGACCACUUCCCCUUUCUAGUCAGCCCACGGGGCAGAGACCCUGGCGUCAUCUCUAGGCAACCAUCCCUUUUCCAGGGAAGCUCAUGACCCACGGCUGUCCAGAAGCCAGAAUCUUCUCACUGCCCCGUGUCGCUCCCGCAAGGCCUACCAGAGGACCCUCAUGGUGUGGUAGGGGGUCCUGGCAGGGGCCAGGGGCCAGGGUGGAGACUUGGCAGUGGGGGUGGGUUUGGUGUCCCCACAGACGAGUUUGCCGUGAGCAUUCCUGGAUGUGGCAACCUCAGUCUCAAGAAGAGCGACAGGACGCCAGCUCCCAUGCAGAGACAGAUCCAGGUAAGAAACCAGCUCAUGUGUGACAAACUCACCAUCUCACCAUGAAGGUGACUCUUGAAAGCUCCUGUGCACCUUGGAACUGCUGAGACAUCUUCUGCUUGGAGGAGGCAAGGGACAGGCUUCCUGUUUCUAAAGGCGUGUGAGUGGCGACCUUGAGAAAUGUGGCCAGUGGAGCAUUUUGACUGAGUUGGGUCCCCUCGUGCAAUACUGUGAGACAGAACUCCCAGCGAGGCCCACGGCCUCUGACCAUGGGGGUUGGAGUGGGGAAACCAAUUAGCCAUUUUGUUGAAUUGGCUGGUUCUGACUCAAAUGAGCAGUCACAUUAGUAAAAAUAGGCAAACGGAUGUGCAUUGUAUUUGCCCAGAGCGAAUGAGUUGUUAUCCAUUUCAGUAAUAAUGAUAAC